GAUCAUUACCGAGUGAGGGCCCUCUGGGUCCAACCUCCCACCCGUGUCUAUCGUACCUUGUUGCUUCGGCGGGCCCGCCGUUUCGACGGCCGCCGGGGAGGCCUUGCGCCCCCGGGCCCGCGCCCGCCGAAGACCCCAACAUGAACGCUGUUCUGAAAGUAUGCAGUCUGAGUUGAUUAUCGUAAUCAGUUAAAACUUUCAACAACGGAUCUCUUGGUUCCGGCAUCGAUGAAGAACGCAGCGAAAUGCGAUAAGUAAUGUGAAUUGCAGAAUUCAGUGAAUCAUCGAGUCUUUGAACGCACAUUGCGCCCCCUGGUAUUCCGGGGGGCAUGCCUGUCCGAGCGUCAUUGCUGCCCUCAAGCACGGCUUGUGUGUUGGGCCCCCGUCCCCCUCUCCCGGGGGACGGGCCCGAAAGGCAGCGGCGGCACCGCGUCCGGUCCUCGAGCGUAUGGGGCUUUGUCACCUGCUCUGUAGGCCCGGCCGGCGCCAGCCGACACCCAACUUUAUUUUUCUAAGGUUGACCUCGGAUCAGGUAGGGAUACCCGCUGAACUUAAGCAUAUCAAUAAGCGGAGGAAAAGAAACCAACAGGGAUUGCCUCAGUAACGGCGAGUGAAGCGGCAAGAGCUCAAAUUUGAAAGCUGGCCCCUUCGGGGUCCGCGUUGUAAUUUGCAGAGGAUGCUUCGGGUGCAGCCCCCGUCUAAGUGCCCUGGAACGGGCCGUCAUAGAGGGUGAGAAUCCCGUCUGGGACGGGGUGUCUGCGUCCGUGUGAAGCUCCUUCGACGAGUCGAGUUGUUUGGGAAUGCAGCUCUAAAUGGGUGGUAAAUUUCAUCUAAAGCUAAAUACUGGCCGGAGACCGAUAGCGCACAAGUAGAGUGAUCGAAAGAUGAAAAGCACUUUGAAAAGAGAGUUAAACAGCACGUGAAAUUGUUGAAAGGGAAGCGUUUGCGACCAGACUCGCCCGCGGGGUUCAGCCGGCAUUCGUGCCGGUGUACUUCCCCGUGGGCGGGCCAGCGUCGGUUUGGGCGGCCGGUCAAAGGCCCUCGGAAUGUAUCACCUCUCGGGGUGUCUUAUAGCCGAGGGUGCAAUGCGGCCUGC
rnacentral:rRNA from 1 species